GAGCGAAAGGGAAUACGGNUCCAAUUCCGUAACCUAUUGAGUAUACGUUUGUUAUUUGAAUUCGUUUCGAAUAACAUCUCGGUAACGAGAAGCUCUCAUAGAGACGUCAAUGGGAGGUAUCGAAAGAGUUUUCUUUUCUGUUUUACAAUCGUACGUACCAUGGAAGUCUUUCAUAGAGAGAUAUGGUAUAACAGAUUGGUAGAGCAUGACAUUAAAUUGUUGUGUCGGUAUACUCUCAUUGGACCUUGAAAAUCUAUGAAAGGGACACGAUAAAUUCUCAAUAGCCUGUACCCGAAUCCGCAGCAGGUCUCCA
rnacentral:rRNA from 1 species